CGGUUGAUCCUGCCGGAGGCUACUGCUAUUGGAAUUCGACUAAGCCAUGCGAGUUUAAAGGACUUCGGUCCUUGGCAGACGGCUCAGUAACACGUGGAGAGCCUGCCCUCAGGAGGGGGAUAACCCCGGGAAACUGGGAAUAAUACCCCAUAGGCCUAGAAUGCUGGAAUGCUUUUAGGCCGAAAGCUCCGGCGCCUGAGGAUGGCUCUGCGGCUUAUCAGGUUGUAGUGAGAGUAACGUCCUCACUAGCCUAUGACGGGUACGGGCCCUGAGAGGGGAUGCCCGGAGAUGGACUCUGAGACACGAGUCCAGGCCCUACGGGGCGCAGCAGGCGCGAAAACUCCGCAAUGCUCGAAAGAGUGACGGGGGGAUUCCAAGUGCCUACGCUUAGCGUAGGCUGUUCGGAUGCCUAAAAAGCAUCUGGAGUAAGGGCUGGGUAAGACGGGUGCCAUCUGCAGCGGCAGUGAAAGAUUUGACUUGCUGCUGCAAGGCAUAAGCCGCCGCGGUAAUACCCGCAGCCCGAGUGGUAGUCGAUUUUAUUGGGCCUAAAGCGUCCGUAUCCGGUCUGAUAAAUGCUUGGGUAAAUCGUCUGGCUUAACCAGACGAAUUCCGGGUA
rnacentral:rRNA from 1 species